rnacentral:rRNA from 1 species
GACGAACGCUGGCGGCGUGCUUAACACAUGCAAGUCGAACGAUGAAGCCGGAGCUUGCUCUGGUGAAUUAGUGGCGAACGGGUGAGUAACACGUGAGUAACCUGCCCUUGCCUCUGGGAUAACUGCUAGAAAUGGUAGCUAAUACCGGAUACGACCCUCGGAGGCAUCUCCAGGGGGUGGAAAGAAUUUCGGUCAAGGAUGGACUCGCGGCCUAUCAGCUAGUUGGUGAGGUAACGGCGCACCCAGGCGACGACGGGUAGCCGGCCUGAGAGGGUGACCGGCCACACUGGGACGGAGACACGGCCCAGACUCCUACGGGAGGCAGCAGUGGGGAAUAUUGCACAAUGGGCGCAAGCCUGAUGCAGCAACGCCGCGUGAGGGAUGACGGCCUUCGGGUUGUAAACCUCUUUUAGUAGGGAAGAAGCGAAAGUGACGGUACCUGCAGAAAAAGCACCGGCUAACUACGUGCCAGCCGCCGCCGUAC